rnacentral:rRNA from 1 species
AACGAACGCUGGCGGCAGGCCUAACACAUGCAAGUCGAGCGAGGACUUCGGUCCUAGCGGCGGACGGGUGAGUAACGCGUGGGAACGUGCCCUUUGCUUCGGAAUAGCCCUGGGAAACUGGGAGUAAUACCGAAUGAGCCCUUUGGGGGAAAGAUUUAUCGGCGAAGGAUCGGACCGCGUUGGAUUAGGUAGUUGGUGGGGUAAUGGCCUACCAAGCCGACGAUCCAUAGCUGGUUUGAGAGGAUGAUCAGCCACACUGGGACUGAGACGCGGCCCGGACUCCUACGGGAGGCCGCAAUGCGGAAUCUUAGACAAUGGGGGAAAUCCUGAUCUAGCCAUGCCGGGUGAGCGAUGAAGGCCUUAGAGUUGUAAAGCUCUUUCAGCUGGGAAGAUACUGACGGUACCAGCAGAAGAAGCCACGGCUAACUCCGUG